rnacentral:rRNA from 1 species
UGGGGAAUAUUGCACAAUGGGCGCAAGCCUGAUGCAGCCAUGCCGCGUGUGUGAAGAAGGCCUUCGGGUUGUAAAGCACUUUCAGCGAGGAGGAAGGUGGUGAGCUUAAUACGCUCAUCAAUUGACGUUACUCGCAGAAGAAGCACCGGCUAACUCCGUGCCAGCAGCCGCGGUAAUACGGAGGGUGCAAGCGUUAAUCGGAAUUACUGGGCGUAAAGCGCACGCAGGCGGUUUGUUAAGUCAGAUGUGAAAUCCCCGGGCUCAACCUGGGAACUGCAUUUGAAACUGGCAAGCUAGAGUCUCGUAGAGGGGGGUAGAAUUCCAGGUGUAGCGGUGAAAUGCGUAGAGAUCUGGAGGAAUACCGGUGGCGAAGGCGGCCCCCUGGACGAAGACUGACGCUCAGGUGCGAAAGCGUGGGGCAGCAAACAGGAUUAGAUACCCUGGUAGUCCACGCUGUAAAACGAUGUCGAUUUUGGAGGUUGUGCCCCUUGAGGCGUGGCUUCCGGAGCUAACGCGUUAAAUCGACCGCCUGGGGAGUACGGCC